rnacentral:lncRNA from 1 species
AAAAGCUGUUUUGGAAAUGUUGCUUGUGUGUACUUUUACGGCUUAGACACUGCACCAUUUUAGCCUGUUUUGAUGAAUAAUUGAAGAAUUACUGUCCCACUCUAAGACAGCAUUUCAAAGUGCAUGUGUAACUCAUAUACUUGAUUAAACAUUUCCUUGCCUUUCUCUUCAGAAUGCCAAUUGGCUUUUGAGUGGAUAAUUGUUGCAGUGAGAGCAGUGACAUUGGAAACAACUAUUGCCUGUUUGAAUUACUUAAAGCACCACCAUGAAAAGAAAUACCUGUGAUUUGCUUUCCCGGAGCAAAAGUGCCUCUGAGGAGACACUGCACUCCAGUCAUGAAGAGGAAGACCCUUUGAAAGGAAUGGAACCCUAUCUCGUAAGGAGACUUUCCUGCCGCAACAUCCAGCUUCCCCCUCUCGCCUUCAGACAGUUGGAACAAGCAGACUUGAAGAGUGAAUCAGAGAACCUUCAGAGGCCAACCAGCCUCCCCUUGAAGAUUCUACCCCUGAUUGCUAUCACUUCUGCCGACUCCAGUGGGACCAUGGGCUUGCCUGAGAGAGUUCGUCUCAAGGAGCUGGAGGAGAUAGAAGGACAAAAGCCCAAUACAGAAGUACUCUUUCAAACCUCUUUCCUUAUAGUUGCUAAUAUUCCAAUGACUGAGGGCAGAGUCAAGGGGUGAAGCAGAUAUUCCCACUCUUGCUGAGAGGGCGCCACAAAAUUACAUGGCAAAGAAUAUGAAUACAGAGAGUGGGGAAUUGGGGCCAAAUGUUGAAUCCUUCCAAGAGAGGUGGGGCAGAGGAACGUGCUAGGAUUUCCAGUGCCUUUGUUUCAAAUAAUGAACAAAGUUCAGAGUUCAACUGUGAGGACAACAAGAAGGGAUGCCAAGGUCAGCCGUUGCAGCUUCACAUAUAUUUAAGGAGAAUACUCACCUCUCAGAUACCUAUCUGUCUUUGAAAUGUACUUAUUUUUUAUCAUGGGCCAAAGUAAAACUCAGAACUAUUGAGAUAUUUGCCUUUGUAUAGAAAAAGCGUUCCAAAUAGAAACCAACUCUCCUCCCUUCAUCCCUCUCUCCCUCCCUCUCUUCCUCCCUUCGUCUGUCUUGGGUUCUGAUCUUUGGGGUAUCUAGUUAAUGAGGUCUCAUUUGAUGCUUAUAAAUCUUUCUCACCCAUGUCUUUUAGCAUCAGUUUUAGGCAGCUUAGAAAUAGAGUUUGACCAAUAGUUUUAUUGGUGCAUCAAACUUAUUGAGAAAUGGCUUCAGGAGUUCCAUCUUUUGAAAUAUUACUAAUUCUAAAGUUAGUAGUCAGUAGUUGACAAAAAUAAAUAUUGAUUCAGAAAUGGACUUGCUCAUCAGGGAAAUAAACCUGGUAGCUUUUAGUCAUAAUUUAUUUAUAAGCCUUUCCAUGUUAUAUUCAGAGAUGAACUUUGAAUUGAAGAAAAAGUCAAGUAUUCUUUUUUGUAUGUUUUGAAAAUAUAACAGACUUUGAUGUAUUUAGGGGACCUAGAAUCUUUAAAAGCAGAAUAAAAGAUGACUUCUCUGGAGUUAGAAGGCCCCAGUAAAUCACCCAAAAUAACCAAAAAACUGAUUAGAGACAAAUAUGAUUUCCCAGAAAGCAUAACAAUAUAACCAAUUGUUAUUCUUUAUAUCAGACAGAAUAGAAGUGUUGCUUGCUCUAGGAAAAUAAUUGCAUGAUGUGUAAAUCCACGUUGGCCAAGGACAUAAGGCCAGGUAUAGGUCUAUAUACUCAGCAGUCUCUCCAAAGGCAGUCAUUUAUCUUGGCUCUCAGCUCCUUGCUGAUUUUGCUCCCUUGUUGGGCAGUUCUUGGUUCGGAAUUCUGGAAUAAGAUUUAAAAUCUGAUAGGUGACAAGGAUAUUAUCUGGAUGACCAGGGCUCUUGUACGUGAUAGGAAGAAUGCUGAAAUUUACUGUGUUUCAUUCCUCUUAUUUCUGAAUCUGUGAUGCUAAGGCAUUCCUAGGUAAAAUAACGUACUCCUGCCUCCUACCAAGUGGGUGCAUUGGAGAAAAACAAAAAUGUUAUCAAAACUCACUGUCUUUGAAAUCAACUCUUUUGAAAGAAUAUUUUAGAAAGAGGGUUAACCAUUCAAGCUUUCUAACUGAAAUUUGAAAAUAAUGCAGUUUUAAUACUCAGAAAUGAACAUUUUGAGAUUCAUGUUGACUUUUCCUGUAUUGGAAUAUAUUUCUAGAGAUGCCUGUUUUUUUUUGCAUUUUCUCCCACAAUCUAUUUCAGUUGAAAUUUCAGCCAGAUAUAUACUUUUUCUUCUUUGGCUCAUUAUGCAAAUUAACAGAAAAAUUCAGUGAUGAGAAGUAAAGGUCUUUCCACUCAGGAGGUAAUAGGCCACAUCAGUAAUAGGGUAAAAUAAUUACAGAAUUACUUGCAGCUACUAUGACUGUGUAUUCUCUACUAUUCAGAGGAAAAUCUUUUAUGCACUCAUCACUACACAGUUUAUUCUUCCACUGAUGCGUGGGAAAUUGAUGCAUUUAACUGUCCCACUCAUUGAUGGGAGAAGUGCGUUCCUACAGAAAUACAUUUUUUUUUAAUUCAUGUGACAUUUAAUCCUGACUUUAUUUUUCCUCCACUAAAAUUAUCUUUUGUAGACAAUCUUCUCUUCAUAUGUAUUAUGAGUAUGAACAUCAGAAUAGCUCAGUAGGCUGGAAAAGCAAAGACAUGUCUGUGUAUAGAAUUGCAAUGCUUUCCUUUCCAAAAGGAAAAUAUCAUUUAUUAUUUUCUACUUUUGAUAAAUAAAAGCAAAGUCAUUGUCAAGAAGAGGGGUGCAUUAAAUGAUCUAUAAGUAUUCUUUUCGCUAAAAAAGUCCUGAUUCUCACUUAUUACAAGGAAAUAGUAGUACUGAACUGGAAUUAUGAGCUCUGUGUUCAAUCAAGUUCCCUCACUGGAUUGCGGACUCAUUUUGGAGGGAUAAUUCCCAUUUGAUCCUUGAGCACUAAGCUAUAAUAUGUCCCACAGUUGUUUCAGUGAACAAACCAGAAAAAAGUGCCUGAAUCAUAUGUAACUCUUGUUUAAUCCAAGGGAAAUAGCUUAGAAUACUUAACUCACAGUUUAAAAUAAUUAUUUUUGUCAAGGUCAAAUUAAGUCUUUCAAAGAUACCAUAAUUAUGCGAAUCAAAAAAUGUAUUUAUGUGAAACAAAUGCCCUUUUUUUCCAGACUUGCUAUUAAAAG